CGACCUCCCCUGCCGGGUGGAGCCCGUGUGUGGGUGUGGGGCGGCUGCCAGCCCUCCGGGUGUCUCACUAAUUGUACCCUGGGGUGUGGUCCACUGUGGGCACCGGAGCCCACGAAGCAGAUGGUGGGGGCAGUGACUUGGGCGGAGGCGAGGCCGGGAAAGCCCCAGGCGGCAGGGCUGGGUCGGUGACAGGCGGCCCAGCGCCCAGGCCGAGGACAGGACACUGUGUUUUGAUUAUUUCCAGUUUCCUGACCCCCAAGUAGUGAUUUAAUGUUCCUGUUUACUCCAAGGGUUAGAACAGAAGGCGGGACGGCUAAGCUGGCCUCCUUGGCCUCCCCUGGCGUCACCCCUAAACUCCCAGCAAAGAAGCAGUCGGAGGGAGCAAAGGAUCUGGGGGGACAGUGCAAGGCCUCUGGGGACGUCCAAUCCUAGAGGGUCUGUUCCUUUCUUCAAGAAGCAUCCACCAGCACCAGGCGGGCGCUGGGACCACAGACAAGUGUCGGAGGAAAGGUGCAGCCCUCCACAGAGAAGAUUCGGGAGAGGAGGCGAAGGAAGAGGCUGGGUGCUGGUUUGGGAGUCUCCACCAGCCCCAACAGGACGCACCAGUGGGUGUGGUGUGGCCCAAGUCGGGAGCAGGUGACCUCACAAUUGGGGGUUGGGGACCAAGAAUGCAGCCUCAAGCGCCCACCACGCCAACACCCUGCCAUCCACGGCCCCUGCGACCUGGCCUGGACAUCGGAGCUCCACUCUGAGCCUCCGGGAGGGGAGCCCGUGUCCUGGAUUCAGCCUGACGCCCCAGUGAGGCCUCAAGAACCGUCCACGAGUGGGCAGCAGCCACAGCGGCAGGGCCUCCAGACCGCAAGUUCCCCACCGUGGCCCCCCGCCACCACCGCCUCGGGAGGGGAAGCCUGGCUUCCUGAGGCUCAUGCAUUUGUGCAGGGCCACAAGGACAGCAAGGCCAAGGGGCCAGUCUUCCCUUCAGGUGGAGGGCCCGCCAUGGUGAGCCAGACCAGUGGUGGGCCGGUGUGCCCAGUCGGUGCCUCGGUGGGCCAUAAAGAUGCCCCUCGCGGCGGGGGGGGGGUGCAGGCUGCAUAUCCCAGCACCCUUGUCCUCACCCCAGACUUCCCCUUGGCACAACCCCAGGAAAGAUGCCAGUCACUGUGGCUGCCGUCUUAGUGCUCGCUGUGGGCCAAGACCCCGACAUCGUCCCUACAGAACCUACCUAUGGGUUUGAUCGCACCUUUCCAGGGGUGACUAUUUGAGCAAAGCUGGUCUCCCCAGCAGAACAGUAAGCAACGUGGGGGCGGGGCUGUGUCUGUUUCAGCCACCAGCACCAGACCUGCUUCCUUAAUAAAUGCUUUAGCAAGUAUUCA
rnacentral:lncRNA from 12 species